rnacentral:snoRNA from 1 species
GCGCCUGUACUCCCAGCUACUCGGGAGGCUGAGGCAAGAGAAUGGUGUGGACCCGGGAGGUGGAGCUUGCAGUGAGCCAAGAUUGCGCCAUUGCAUUCCAGCCUGGGCGACAUAG